GCAUAUCAAUAAGCGGAGGAAAAGAAACCAACCGGGAUUGCCUCAGUAACGGCGAGUGAAGCGGCAAAAGCUCAAAUUUGAAAUCCUUCGGGAGUUGUAAUUUGUAGAGGGGUGUCUUUGGGGCGGCAUUGUCUAUGUUCCUUGGAACAGGACGUCACAGAGGGUGAGAAUCCCGUGCGAUGAUGCCUCAACCAGUACAAGACCCUCUCGACGAGUCGAGUUGUUUGGGAAUGCAGCUCUAAGUGGGUGGUAAAUUCCAUCUAAAGCUAAAUACUGGCGAGAGACCGAUAGCGAACAAGUACAGUGAUGGAAAGAUGAAAAGCACUUUGAAAAGAGAGUGAAACAGUACGUGAAAUUGUUGAAAGGGAAGGGUAGGAGGUGAGGGGAAGAGCUGCUUAGGCGCGGGAGAUAAACAAGCAGGAAGCGCUUCGGUGCGGCCUGGUAAAUAUCCCGUGCUUGUGUGGUUCUUCCGUAAUCCCCUUCUACCGCCCGUCUUGAAACACGGACCAAGGAGUCUAACGUCUAUGCGAGUGUUUGGGUGUCAAACCCGUACGCGAAAUGAAAGUGAAAGAUUGCAGCCUCGGCGCACAAUCGACCGACCAUGAUUUAUCUACGGUUUGAGUGGAGCAUAGCUGUUGGGACCCGAAAGAUGGUGAACUAUACCUGAGCAGGGUGAAGCCAGAGGAAACUCUGGUGGAGGCUCGCAGCGGUUCUGACGUGCAAAUCGAUCGUCGAACUUGGGUAUAGGGGCGAAAGACUAAUCGAACCAUCUAGUAGCUGGUUCCUGCCGA
rnacentral:rRNA from 1 species